GACGAACGCUGGCGGCGUGCUUAACACAUGCAAGUCGAACGAAGUGGCGAACGGGUGAGUAAUACGUGAGUAACCUGCCCUCCUUUUUGGGAUAAGCCUUGGAAACGGGGUCUAAUACCGAAUAAAGGGGGAUGGGCUCGCGGCCUAUCAGCUUGUUGGUGGGGUGUUGGCCUACCAAGGCGGUGACGGGUAGCCGGCCUGAGAGGGUGACCGUCCACGUUGGAAGUGGACUUCGGCCCAGACUACUGCGGGUGGGGGCAGUGGGGCAUAUUGCACUAAGGGCGAAAGCGUCAUGCAGCGAGACUGCGUGAGGGAUGAAGGCUUUCGGGUUAUAAACCUCUUUCGAUAUCGAACGGGUAGGUGAAGAAGAAGCGCCGGCUAACUACGUGCCAGCAGCCGCGGUAAUAC
rnacentral:rRNA from 1 species